GCUCGAGUGGCGAACGGGUGAGUAACACGUGAGUAACCUGCCCUUGACUUUGGGAUAACUUCAGGAAACUGGGGCUAAUACCGGAUAGGAGCUCCUGCUGCAUGGUGGGGGUUGGAAAGUUUCGGCGGUUGGGGAUGGACUCGCGGCUUAUCAGCUUGUUGGUGGGGUAGAGGCUUACCAAGGCUUUGACGGGUAGCCGGCCUGAGAGGGUGACCGGCCACAUUGGGACUGAGAUACGGCCCAG
rnacentral:rRNA from 1 species